AAACCUUGUAUUUGCGGAUACUUGCGCAGGAGUUCCUUGAACCUUUCCCAUGUCUCAAAUAGAGACUCCAAUUCCAACUGCAUAAAGGAUGAGAUCUCAUUCCUAAGCUU